GUGCUCACUUUGGCAGCACAUAUACUAAAAUUGGAACCAUAUAGAGAAGAUUAGCAUGGUCCCCAUGCAAGGAUGACACCUAAAUUCAUGAAGCAUUCCAUAUUUUU
ensembl:snRNA U6 U6 spliceosomal RNA